CAGAGGUAUGAGCAUAGAGUGAGAGGUCAGGGCCAAGAAGCAAAACAGAGAAACAGACAAGACAGGACAGUGCCUGCUCUACCUGCUGGCUUGAGAGCCAGUGCCUGAAGCUGCUUCCUGUAUCACAUCUUCGCCUCUUCAUCUAACAAAUAGGUGUGAGUGAGCUGCUGUCCUCAGCUUACUGUUGGGGGAGAGUCAUUUGCAAGUUUUUUACAUGACUCCUCAGGCUCUAAGAGAUAUGAAAUAGCUCUCUGUCUUGUGAAAUGUCUUGCUUGUAAAUUGUCCCUAAAAGAACUGCACUGUGUUCCUGUCUGAUUCUCCCAGGUAGUGUUGAAGCGCCUCAAAGGUAAGGACUGUGUUUCCAGACUCUCUGACAGAUUCCCACUGUGUGUCUUCCCCCCACAUCCUUGUUGGCUGACAGAUUUCCCAGUAACACAAAAGAUUCUGAACUUGCACCAGACACAAGCCAGCCUCAGUAACAACUAACUUCAGAUUUACCUAUCUUUUUGGAAAUGCAAAAUAGACCUCUGUGUGUGUCUUCCUCCAGCUUUUCUUAACUCUCAUUGCUAAAUUCAUGAUUUCGUGGUAAAAAAAAAAAAGCCCCUGGAAAACAGCCAGUAAAUUCUUGGUGUUUAAUAUUAUCCUAAAGGCAAGCAUCUUUCUCUUUCCAACUUGCUGACAACACAAUUGUUAGGGGUCAUGCACUCAAAAUGGGUGUGUCUUCUUGGUAAAAAAUAAUACACAUGUGGUUGUCCUAGCAGUUCCUGAUCCUGUUUCUAUUUUCUACACUUUCUCUAAGAGGAUGUCUGGGUCAGCUCUGACACACCCAGACCCUUCAACUCUGUCUUAACAUCCUGGACUGCUGCCAGUCUCCUUUCUCCAGACGAAGCAGCAUAAGACCAAUCUACGAGGACUUUGGAGCUGGGUGUCUACAAGGCCAGCAGAGCUCAGCAGUUUACCGGCCGUCUGAUCCAGAGCCGUGGGAGUUUCAUCAUCUCUAAUCUCUUGAACACAGCAUGAUCUCAGAGGGGAGAGAAAAAGCCCAGCAACAGUGAGAAAAUCGGUCAAAAUCAUCUUGUUCCUUUUUUUGUAUCAGACAAAGAAUUGCCUUCAGAACUGGGAAUGUAGGUUCAGGAACGGAAUUAUGGAGUAGGG
rnacentral:lncRNA from 1 species